rnacentral:rRNA from 1 species
AUUGAACGCUAGCUGGAUGCUUAACACAUGCAAGUCGAACGCGUGGCGCACGGGUGAGUAAUAUACCGGAACGUGCUCCGUAGCGGGGGAUAACUACUUGAAAGAGGGGCUAAUACAGCCUACUAUUGGAGCGGCCGAUAUCGGAUUAGCUAGUUGGUGGGGUAAAGGCUCACCAAGGCAACGAUCCGUAGCUGGUUUGAUAGGGAGACCAGCCACACUGGGACUGAAACACGGCCCAGACGCCUACGGGAGGCGGCAGUGGGGAAUGUUGGACAAGGGGGGAAACCCUGAUCCAGCCCUCCCGCGUGUAUGAGAAGGCCUUCGGGUUGUAAAGUACAUUUGGUAGAGAAGCGGUAUCUGCAGAAUAAGCACCGGCUAACUACGUGCCAGCAGCCGCGGUAAUAC